CUAGCUACAGGCUUAACACAUGCAAGUCGAGGGGCAGCAUGGUCUUAGCUUGCUAAGGCCGAUGGCGACCGGCGCACGGGUGAGUAACACGUAUCCAACCUGCCGUCUACUCUUGGACAGCCUUCUGAAAGGAAGAUUAAUACAAGAUGGCAUCAUGAGUCCGCAUGUUCACAUGAUUAAAGGUAUUCCGGUAGACGAUGGGGAUGCGUUCCAUUAGAUAGUAGGCGGGGUAACGGCCCACCUAGUCUUCGAUGGAUAGGGGUUCUGAGAGGAAGGUCCCCCACAUUGGAACUGAGACACGGUCCAAACUCCUACGGGAGGCAGCAGUGAGGAAUAUUGGUCAAUGGGCGAGAGCCUGAACCAGCCAAGUAGCGUGAAGGAUGACUGCCCUAUGGGUUGUAAACUUCUUUUAUAAAGGAAUAAAGUCGGGUAUGGAUACCCGUUUGCAUGUACUUUAUGAAUAAGGAUCGGCUAACUCCGUGCCAGCAGCCGCGGUAAUACGGAGGAUCCGAGCGUUAUCCGGAUUUAUUGGGUUUAAAGGGAGCGUAGAUGGAUGUUUAAGUCAGUUGUGAAAGUUUGCGGCUCAACCGUAAAAUUGCAGUUGAUACUGGAUAUCUUGAGUGCAGUUGAGGCAGGCGGAAUUCGUGGUGUAGCGGUGAAAUGCUUAGAUAUCACGAAGAACUCCGAUUGCGAAGGCAGCCUGCUAAGCUGCAACUGACAUUGAGGCUCGAAAGUGUGGGUAUCAAACAGGAUUAGAUACCCUGGUAGUCCACACGGUAAACGAUGAAUACUCGCUGUUUGCGAUAUACAGCAAGCGGCCAAGCGAAAGCGUUAAGUAUUCCACCUGGGGAGUACGCCGGCAACGGUGAAACUCAAAGGAAUUGACGGGGGCCCGCACAAGCGGAGGAACAUGUGGUUUAAUUCGAUGAUACGCGAGGAACCUUACCCGGGCUUAAAUUGCAGAUGAAUUACGGUGAAAGCCGUAAGCCGCAAGGCAUCUGUGAAGGUGCUGCAUGGUUGUCGUCAGCUCGUGCCGUGAGGUGUCGGCUUAAGUGCCAUAACGAGCGCAACCCUUGUUGUCAGUUACUAACAGGUUCCGCUGAGGACUCUGACAAGACUGCCAUCGUAAGAUGUGAGGAAGGUGGGGAUGACGUCAAAUCAGCACGGCCCUUACGUCCGGGGCUACACACGUGUUACAAUGGGGGGUACAGAGGGCCGCUACCACGCGAGUGGAUGCCAAUCCCCAAAACCUCUCUCAGUUCGGACUGGAGUCUGCAACCCGACUCCACGAAGCUGGAUUCGCUAGUAAUCGCGCAUCAGCCACGGCGCGGUGAAUACGCUCCCGGGCCUUGUACACACCGCCCGUCAAGCCAUGGGAGCCGGGGGUACCUGAAGUGCGUAACCGCGAGGAGCGCCCUAGGGUAAAACUGGUGACUGGGGC
rnacentral:rRNA from 1 species